UUCCAAAACGGGCAGGCUAUACCAUUCCUCUCCAUUCGGCAGCAACGGAACAGAAGGGAAAUACAUAUUUGUAGCCUAUACUGUGAUGAAACUAAUAUUGGGAGAUGGUCGCGAUGGCAAAAUAGCCCAACAAGUCAGUCAAGUGAAUAGAGGUGAUGUGGCAGCUGCAACCAGGUAGACUCAAGAGGCUUGGCAUUGUGUUCUCCAUUCUAUGAUAGAUGGAAGCUACAAUCUCACACCCCAACCUCAAUGCCCAAUGGAAUUUUACAAUAUUGUACAAUGGGAUAUAGAGGAUUGUUGGCUUCUCAUAGCCAAAUCAAACCUGGGAUUUUUUCCCCCCACAGAUAAACCGAAGAUAAGAGUUUCUGCCUGCUUCACGGUCCAUUAUUACUUUUGGUACGCGCUCGGCCAGUCUCAAACUCGUACCGUGAGUAAUAAUGCACUGUGGCUGUCACUGCCAACGAGAGACGGAGAGCACCACAGUUCUCCAUAAUCCUAUGCAUCUCAUCGUUGUAUAGACAGAUGUGAAGCAGGAAAUGUGAUGAAAACUCAGCCCUUGUGUCAGAAUGACAGCAUUUAAAUAUAAUAAUUUAGGAUACUUUCAUAUCCAGGGAAGAAAUUGACUAGCCAGUUUACUUAAAUAUUAUUGUUGAAUUAUUUACUUUAAAUGUGUUGUUGAAUGUUACACUGACAUUUUAACAUUUUAACUCUAAAAGGUCAAUCUUAUUUAUACUUGCAAAAUAAAUUCCUUGUGACUGUUAUAUUUAUGUUGACUGCAUAUGUCUUGUUUUAGUACAAUGAAAAAGUCAUAUUAGGCUACAGCCUAUUAUUAUGUCUUAAUUUUUUGUAGGAAAAGCUUUUUGUUCUCAAAUAUAAAAAAAUGGGUCUGUAAUUGAAUAAAGUUCAGAAACAUUAUAGCCAACUCUCCUAGUUGGACAUGUUUUGAAAUAGGCACUUCAAUGUAAUUGUCUGUUUAAUAAAUGAUCAUUACAAUUGACAACUCAAUUCUACACUAAGAGACGAAAUUGAAUACACAAUCAGUCUCUGAACAAAGCGACCCUGAUGCACCCAUUGACACGGCUUUUAAUAGAGAGGCUAUGUCAUAAACCCUCAAAGUUCCAGAAUGCGGUGAAAAUGGCAGCUAUUGUGGUUAGGGAGAAAUCCAAACCUAUUGUGGUUAGGGAGAUAUCCAAACCUAUUGUGGUUAGGGAGAUAUCCAAGCCUAUUGUGGUUAGGGAGAAAUCCAAACCUAUUGUGGUUAGGGAGAAAUCCAAACCAAUUGGAAUGAAUGGCAGAGGUGAUGCAUUACCUGAUUUUACUUAUACAGGAAAAUAAAAGUAAGGUAUGGGAUAUAUCUGAAAUUGUGUAAUAGAAUUAUUGUCAACCUACAAUAUUGUUAUCUAAUUAUAAAUACAGUUUAUAUGGAAUUUAUACAAAUGUUCUGUAUAAAUAGCCUCUAAAAUACAGCAUAUGUAAACAGACCAUAAAUGUCUAAAUGUUGUAUUUUUGUGGAAAGCUGUGAGUGCUAUUAUAUGAUACAAUAUCAUUACUUGUUGCAUUUACAAUUAGUCUAAAUCAUUUCAUCAAAUUAUUAAACCACUGUAUGGCUGUGGAUUGGCUGCAUUUCUUUUUAUGGAAUGUUGUCAUAUUGGCAGUUAAUUGGAAACAUUUACGGAAUCAUUCGGCUAAAACUGGCUAGCUAGCUAACAUACAGUACAGAAAAUUCUUCAAAUAUAUUGUUUUACACAAUAUCUUAUCACAGCACUGGCAAACCAUGGCUGACCAACUACCUGACUUUUAUACCAUCAUAAGGUUCAUGAUCAUUCUAGUAUUCUAAUUCCUACUUCUAUGGCACGUGAAAUAGGAUCUCUAUGGUUCCAACCCUCCGACGUCACCUCGUUACAGUUGUGUUGGUAGCAACUAAUUUAAACAGUACCCUACUCCUUGUUGUCGUGUGCACCGGGGCCGAAACCCUCGUCUCAUAAUCAUGGAUUCUGAAAACUAUGUGGAAACUCAUCCAUCAGACUACAAUGAAGCUAUGAAAACCAGUGACGUUUACAAAGUGGACAAAAAUCUUCCUAAGCGUUUUAAUAACCCCGAUUGCUUUCAAGGCUACAGUACGAAGAAAAACCACCCAUUCUACCAGACAUCAAGCCAAAUAUAUGGAAGCAAGAGACCAACCGUUCAUGAAAUGCCUACAACUUUUAAUGGCAGUUAUCGGAAGUUUUCAGAACACAUGCUGAAAAGUGGGAUGUUCAGAGAUAACGGUUUCAACACGUCCAUUGAGAAGAGCAAAAUCACAGGACACGACACCAUCCCCAUGUUUCAAGACAGGAUCAACUUUAAUUAUGCAUACGACAGUGGGAAUGGUCCAAGGAAUUGAAAACAUUACUCCACCUACCUUAAUUCAUUUUCAUUGCUACAUUUGUAUGCCAUUCAUUCUAUUUGCCUUUUAUAAGGAUCAAUUCCUGUAAUGAGUAUUUAAACAUCAUACAGAACAUUCACCUUGUUUUAUUAGACCCCACCUACCAUUGGUGAUUGGUUCAAUAAAAACCUUCUUCUUCUUCUUCUCCUACCCCAACAUCAGUCUUGGCCACAAGGUGGACAUCUAACAACUUGCUGGCUAUUUUGCUGGCACAUGCAGGAGCUAACGCACAGCAAAAUAGUCAGCAAGUUGUUAGAUCACCACCUUGUGGCCAAGACUGAUGUUGGGGUAAGGUUUUUAUAUACGGUGAGUGUUCAAGACAUUAAGAACACCUUCCUAAUAUUGAGUUUGCCCUCAGAACAGCCUCAAUUUGUCGGGGGAUGGACUCUACAAGGUGUCGAAGGCGUACAAGCGGGAUUCUGGCCCAUGUUGAAUACAAUGCUUCCCACAUAGUAUUCAAUAUGUGGACCAUUCUUGAUAUACACGGGAAACUGCUGAGCAUGAAAAACCCAGCAGCGCUGCAGUUCUUGACACAAAAUUGGUGCGCCUGGCACCUACUACCAUACCCCGUUCAAAGGCACUUUUUGUGCCCAUUCACCCUCGGAAUGGCACACAUACACAAUCCACCUCUCAAUUGCCUCAAGGCUUAAAAAUCCUUCUUUAACCUGUCUCCUCCCUUUCAUCCAUACUGAUUGAAGUGGAUUUAACAAGUACAUCAACAAGGGAUCAUAGCUUUCCUCUGGAUUCACUUGGUCAGUCUAUGCCAUGGAAAGAGCAGGUGUUCAUAAUGUUUUGUACAUUUAGUCUGUUUUAUUACUCUAUUAUUGUGUCGAGGAUAAGAAUUGAUCCAACUCCUGGUACCUUUCAAACAAGAUUUGUACAAGUUUUUGGAAUUCAAUAGAUAUUCUAUCUAAGUUUAAAUUGAUGCUGCAAAUUAUAUUUAACCACCUUGAAUUAUUCCAGAAAACUGGGUCAUGGUAACACAAGUAACACAAAAUAGUGUCUUAAAGUGGUUGCUAGGAAACUAGUGAACCCAAGACAGUAUCAGAAGGAAAAUAAAUCACUGGCAAAUAA